UACGAAGGGGGCUAGCGUUGCUCGGAAUCACUGGGCGUAAAGCGCACGUAGGCGGAUCGCUAAGUCAGGGGUGAAAUCCUGGAGCUCAACUCCAGAACUGCCUUUGAUACUGGCAAUCUCGGGUCCGGGAGAGGUGAGUGGAACUGCGAGUGUAGAGGUGAAAUUCGUAGAUAUUCGCAAGAACACCAGUGGCGAAGGCGGCUCACUGGCCCGGUACUGACGCUGAGGUGCGAAAGCGUGGGGAGCAAACAGG
rnacentral:rRNA from 1 species